ACCAAGUCNUGACAUUGGAUGACUGGAAUUACCGUUCCCUGCCCUUCGGGGCAUCCAAGACAGGUGGUGCAUGGUUGUCGUCAGUCGUUUCGUGAGAUGUUGGGUUAAGUCCCGCAACGAGCGCAACCCAUCUCUUUAGUAGCCAGCAGUAAGAUGGGCACUUUAGGGAGACUGCCGGGGACAACCCGGAGGAAGGCGGGGACGACGUCAAAUCAUCAUGCCCCUUAUGAUUUGGGCUACACACGUGUACAAUGGCGUAGAACAAAGGGAAGCGAAGAGUGCUGAGACUGGAGCCAAUCCCAAAAAUCCGUCCCAGUUCUAGGACUCAGUGGNUCAAGUAC
rnacentral:rRNA from 1 species